UGCACUAUUUUGGAGAUGCCCUGGCCUAAUGUUGAUGUUGGUGAGAGGGGCAAGCAGAUCGGUAUGCUAAUUGGAUACCUUUUUAAAAAAUUUCCAAACUGAUAGUUCAUGCAUUCUGUAAGGCCUCAAAUUAAUCAAAGAUUUAACUGUGAUUCUUGUUUCAAACAAAGUGCUUUAGAUCCUGUAGUCGUUCUUCAGGUAUUUUGUAAGGCAUCAAAUCAAAUAUUUGACAGCGGUCCUGGUUUCAAAAACAUCGCUCUCAAAUCCUGAAGUUAGUCCUCAGACAGACAAAUAGUUUCUCAUUUGCAAGAGAUUAAAGAUGACUUAGAGCCCAAUGUCACUUGUGGUUUGGGAAAGGCCGCUGCAUCCAUUACGAUGAAGAAUGUUUGAGAUCAAAAUUAUCGGACUUGAUUAUGAGGAAUCACUACUGUACCCACAUGUAGAAGAUGACUUGACGAAGCUCACAGUGAAUUUACUGUUAUUUGAAAAGUGGGCAUUAAGCAUAAACUUGCUCAAAUCCCAAAUAAUCGAAAGAUGCAGUAUGAUCACACCCAGUUUUGUGAAUAUACAAUUCUCAAGGCAACUAUGAUCACACCCAGUAUGCUUGAGUUAACUAAUGUUGAUGGUUUUCAAAGGAUUUGUGUUGGUGGCUGUAUAGUAGCAGGCAAGUUUAUCAUGGUGCCUAGCUAUAUGAGAUGAUGAUAUGAGUUUACAUCUAGGUUUCUUUUCAAUUUUAAUUUGCAAUUAAGUUAUUGUUUGCAGAUUGGUGUGCUAUGUUGUAGAAAAAUUUCUAUUCAUGAUUAUCUAGA